ACGUGAGCAACCUGCCUCGGAGACCGGGAUAACUCGGGGAAACUCGAGCUAAUACCGGAUGCCCUCCCCGGACCGCAUGGUCUGGUGAGGAAAUGGUCUUCCGCUCCGAGAUGGGCUCGCGGCCUAUCAGCUUGUUGGUGGGGUAAUGGCCUACCAAGGCAACGACGGGUAGCUGGUCUGAGAGGAUGUCCAGCCACACUGGAACUGAGACACGGUCCAGACUCCUACGGGAGGCAGCAGUGGGGAAUCUUGCGCAAUGGGCGAAAGCCUGACGCAGCGACGCCGCGUGCGGGAUGAAGGCCCUCGGGUCGUAAACCGCUUUCAGCAGGGACGAUUGUGACGGUACCUGCAGAAGAAGCCCCGGCCAACUACGUGCCAGCAGCCGCGGUAACACGUAGGGGGCAAGCGUUGUCCGGAUUUAUUGGGCGUAAAGAGCUCGUAGGCGGUUCAGCAAGUCGGGUGUGAAAACUCUGGGCUUAACCCAGAGCCUGCACUCGAAACUGCUGUGACUAGAGUUCGGUAGGG
rnacentral:rRNA from 1 species